GUGUCAGCCGCCGCGGUAAGACAGAGGUGCCAAGCGUUAGGCGGAAUCACUGGGCUUAAAGCGUGUGUAGGCGGAUCGUUAAGUGCCUUGUGAAAUCCCCCGGCUCAACCGGGGAAUGGCUGGGCAUACUGGCGGUCUUGAGCCAUCUAGGGGCAGCUGGAACAAACGGUGGAGCGGUGAAAUGCGUAGAUAUCGUUUGGAACGCCCAAGGUGAAAACAGGCUGCUGGGGAUGAGCUGACGCUGAGACACGAAAGCCAGGGGAGCAAACGGGAUUAGAAACCCCAGUAGUCC
rnacentral:rRNA from 1 species